UACGGAGGGGGCUAGCGUUGUUCGGAAUUACUGGGCUUAAAGCGCACGUAGGCGGCUUCGCAAGUCAGAGGUGAAAGCCUGGGGCUCAACCCCGGAACUGCCUUUGAGACUGCGUCGCUCGAAUCAGGGAGAGGUGAGUGGAAUUCCGAGUGUAGAGGUGAAAUUCGUAGAUAUUCGGAAGAACACCAGUGGCGAAGGCGGCUCACUGGACCGGCAUUGACGCUGAGGUGCGAAAGCGUGGGGAGCAAACAGG
rnacentral:rRNA from 1 species